rnacentral:rRNA from 1 species
UGGGGAAUAUUGGACAAUGGGGGAAACCCUGAUCCAGCAAUGCCGCGUGUGUGAAGAAGGCCUUAGGGUUGUAAAGCACUUUUGUUAGGGAGGAAAGUCUGAUAGCUAAUAUCUAUUGGAAUUGACGUUACCUAAAGAAUCAGCACCGGCUAACUCUGUGCCAGCAGCCGCGGUAAUACAGAGGGUGCAAGCGUUAAUCGGAAUUACUGGGCGUAAAGGGUCUGUAGGCGGAUAAUUAAGUCGGAUGUGAAAUCCCCGAGCUCAACUUGGGAACUGCAUUCGAUACUGGUUGUCUAGAGUAUGCAAGAGGAUGGGGGAAUUCCUGGUGUAGCAGUGAAAUGCGUAGAGAUCAGGAGGAACAUCAAUGGCGAAGGCACCUUUCUGGGGCAAUACUGACGCU